CGAAGUCGAACCGGGCGUCGUCUGGGAGGUCGGACGCGUAUAUCGGGUCGCACGUUCGGAGACGCCGAAGAACACGAUCUCCGUGGUACCUUCCGACGGCGGAGGCGGGUGGAAAGUGGGCGUGAAAGAGGGUGGUGGGUGCGGAGGGGGCGGCGUAGGCGAAGUCGGUGGCGAUCCUCCAUUACGAGGGACCAUCGUCGGCCGUUGGUUUCUCUAAAGAGGAGAAGAAUCACGACACGCGCACCGCGCAAAGAUAGAAGAAGGUUGGGUUGACAGAUGCGGCUCACUCGUCCGUUCGAAUGAGGCGGUGCCAAACAUGUGGAUCGACCCACGAGUCGGCCUUUGCCGUCAAAUGUUGGUGAGCCCCAACGUUCUCCCGUCAAUGUUUGGCCCAUUUACAAUUACCCCUAGCGGGCCCACGCCUCCAUAUGCAAUCAAUAACGUCGGUCCGUCGAAGUGUCUACGUGGGAAGGAGUAAUGACACGACUCCUCCAUCACUGGUCGAAUGGAUUGCCCGACCACCGGCGGAUGAAUGUGCUCGACGUGGUCGGUUGUUUCAGUGGAAAUUGGAUCCCACAAUUACAGGUCUUCUUCGAGUUUGGGAGGCGAUAUAAGCAUCUCAUUCGCGCAGAGAGGACCUGCCGCCACAACCUUGAAUGGAUUCGCCGAAGCCUUACCAGCGUCGUCCGUUCCAGGGAUGUGUACAUCCGUGUCUGCGUGCUCCGCAAUACGGUGGAGCAAAUCUACAUCCUGUGCGCUCAGGACGACGCGUUCACGGAAGCCGGGCAGCGCAGCGUCGAUGGUGGGAAGUACUCGUCGUGGUAACUUAAUUGCCAUUUUGGCUCUUCGUCUUUCAAGGGAAGUGAACGAGACCUGCGGCACUUGGGUCCUGCAGUGAAUCAUCCACCCUCGUCUGCUUGAACUUUUCUUCAUGGUGAAAAAUAUGGUGUAUUAUUAAUUCACAUAGGCUUAAUUAUCACUUGCUGAACUCAA